GGACCUCUAAUCGGAAAA
rnacentral:rRNA from 1 species